UCUAUUUUUCAACUUCCACGCUCACUUUUUCUAGACUACGAGAUACAUUGUUUCGUUUUUACCGGUACAAUUCUAACCAAUUGCUGUAUCGGUAACGAGUGCAAUAACAGUUCGUUUAGAGAAAGUAAUAUCAGACAUUUCUAAAGCUUUAUUUGUGCUGAAAAUAUUUUCGAUGUGGAAUUAUCUAGCUAAUUUUCUCAGGCGUUUACUUGUGCUACCCAAGGGGUCUUUUCCAAAAGUAUUUAGCAGACAAAAAUGUUAUGGUUGAAACAACUUCUGCACACAAUGUUCCACGCGUACAGUAAAAUGGCACAAGUUUACAUUUCGUCAAGAAGAAGAUAAGCAUUAGAAGCUGUUGAAGUGGCGCUGGUUUCGUUCUAGCAACCAACAAACGCAGUGAUGUCGUCCUCCAGUGAAACAUGCCCGUUCUGUGGGAAAAACUUCAAGAGACUGAACAGCCACCUUCCCAGAUGCAAGAUGGCUCCGGUCGCCACAACCACACAAAGCUCGCAGACCCUCCCUGGCCCAGCUGACCUCAUCAUAGACAAGAACAGCAAGAAGACAUCUUUAUCAUUGUCUUCUUCAUCACCAUCAACAACUUCUACUAAGAGUAAGAAGGCAUCAUCUUCAUCUCCAUCACCAGCGUUAUCACCAUUGGCAAGUACAACCAAGAGUAAGAAAACAUCAUCAUCAUUGACAACUUCUAAAAGCAAUAAGAAGACACCAUCACCUUCCUCAUUGUCAUCAACAACAACUUCAAAGAAACGGCAGAAGCUCCUUGAUGAGACUUUCAUUCUCUCCAAGGACAGUCUGGCAAAAGAUCCAGCCAAUAUCCACACAAAACCCAAAGUGAUAGCCAAACUCAAAGCAGUCCCUGCCACAGCCCCAGUCCCUGCCACAGCCCCAGUCCCUGCCACAGCCCCAGUCCCUGCCACAGCCCCAGUCCCUGCCACAGCCCCAGUCCCUGCCACAGCCCCAGUCCCUGCCACAGCCCCAGUCCCUGCCACAGCCCCAGUGAGCACUAAAGCCAAAGCUGCCUCUAAGAAGAAGGUUUCACUGAGGGAGCAGAUUGAACUAUCCGCUCAGACAGCCAGAGCUGCUGCCACACUAUCCCAGCAACCUUUACCAGGGGCACAGAGUGACGCAAGACCCUUCUGGAAGGAGGUGGAGGUGGGGAGCAGUAGGGAGAAGAUGGGGAGCAGUAGGGAGGAGGUGGGAGGAGAAGAGAAGCUGCAGAGAUCAGGCAGUGGUCAGCCCAGACCCAGCAUCCAGGACCAUACCACCAUCAAACCUGACCGGCUGUACAGCAAGACAAUCACACUGGACCAUAACCCAACCAUAACCUCCGACCUCAAUAAAGACGGUCUACGCAGCAAGACAAGCAACAGGGGACCACUCACGGUCAACCACGUUUCAACAGUACUGGACCGUGUUCAGACCACAACCGCUGAUCGUAACAAAGACUGUCUGUAUAACAAGACCAGAAGACUGCUCACAGUUGAACUCGGUCAAACCUCCAUGAGGACAGAGUCAGCAACAGCCAAUCAGAGCGUGACAAGGGAGAAAGCGCCAUUCGACACCAGGAAGUAUGGUAAACUGUCUCUAGGGGAGGUGAGGCUGAAGGAACUGCCUUCCUGGAUCGCUACCAGAGCUCCCCGCAACCCCAGAAAUGGAGUAGAGGCCCUGAACAGCGGUAGAAGACACCCUACACCAUGGAUCAUCAACUAGAUUCAGCUAUAGGACGAUUUGUUUUUCAUUGAGCGGAUGGUCAGGGGGCCGGAACAUAGUUACAAAUAAUUUGUAGACUGCAAAUUGACCGCAAUAAGCCCAAACAGAUAUAUUUGACAAAAACAUUAUUAUUUUAAACCUUGCUUACAUUUGUAUACCAUCACAUGCACUGAGUAUACAAAACAUUAAGAAGUUACCAGCUACUAAGUUGCUUUGAAAAUAGUGGAAACAACUUUUAAUGUACACUGAGUGUACAAAGCAUUAGGAACACCUGCUCUUUCCAUGACAUAGACUGACCAGAUGAAUCCAGGUGAUAUUGAUGUCACUUAUUAAAUCCACUUCAAUCAGUGUAGAUGAAGGGGAGGAGACGGGUUAAAGAUGGAUGUUUAAGGCUUGAGACAGUUGAGACAUGGAUUGUGUGUGUGUGUGCCAUUGGGGGUGAAUGGGCAAGACAAGAUUUAAGCGCCUUUGAACGGCGUAUGGUAGUUUUUUUCCCGUAGUUUUAAAUGGUUUUUUUUAUCAGAAAACUUGGGGGUGCCAAAUAAAACGCCAGUAGGGGAACCCUGUGCCACACACACACACACACACACAGUGAAUCUAUUCGGUUAUCCCAUGAUAUCUCUUUUAGGUCCAUCUACCAUCUCUUUCUCUAGGAUGGCAGUGGUACUACAGGAGGUAUAUAGAUGUGAGGAAAGGUGGAGUGGGAGGAGUGGCCAUGCUGCUGGCAGGAUACUGCAUCCUGGGCUACACCUGGCACUACCCACACAUCAAGCAUGACCGCUGGAGGAAGUACCACUGAGCCCUGCUGAGCGCCAGCGGUAGGGGUCAAACUAAGUGAAGACCUCUCACUCUGGGAGCACGCCCCUAGUGGUUUGGUGGAGAAACAUUUUCCAACAGGAGACAUAUUUGAUGAGCUGCAGCUAUGGCGAAAAAUGCUUUGGCUUUAUACAUAUAUUCUUCUGUGUGAAAGGAGAUGAAAUGUAUACAGAAGCAACACUGAGGUGCCGAGGAAAAUGGUCUCAUUUCAGUUUGAAGUUUAAUUUCUUGUAAACCUUGUGUACAACUCUUUAAGUAUUUGUCGCAUUUGCUAUUGUUUUGUUAACUGUUUAUGAAAGGGAAGGAUAUCUCAAUGUUACAUCACUUCUGCUUUUAGGACAAGUUAAAAUGAAUUGUGUUCUCUCUAAACUAGUGAGAACAGCAUCAAAGCUAAUUCAGCACUCCUAAAAGACUCCCAGCAAGUGUCACUGUUGGACUGUUUUUGUUUAAACUGACAAUGUACUAAUGUGUGUAGUAUACCCACCCAAUCAAUGCCUCAAAUGAUUGAAUGUAAAGUCAUGACCAGCCGUGAGACAAACUUGCCCAAGUAUAGUAAUACUAUAAUUACAAGUAUUACGGUGUGUGUGCUUGCAGUACGUAAAAAAUGUAUGAAAUGUAUGCAUUCACUACUAUAAGUCGCUCUGGAUAAGAGCGUCUGCUAAAUGACUAAAAUGUUUAAAAAAAAUUUACUGACUGUGAAGGUUUUACCAAUACUACAUGUUUGAGAAAGGUUAAAUUUCAAAUGAAUCAGGCUAUGCCCAUUUAUGAUUGUAUUCCAAAUGAAUUUAUUGUUGACUUUUCUCUUUCUGUUGUAGUGAACACAAACUAAAAAUGAACAACUGACA